UAGUGAGGUGCCGUCAAGAGGUGUAAAUUUGAAAUAUCCCUAAUACAGGAUCACUUGGAUCCGUCGGCGAU
rnacentral:rRNA from 1 species